ensembl:snRNA U2 U2 spliceosomal RNA
AUCACUUCUCGGCCUUUUGGCUAAGAUCAAGUGUAGUAAGAGUGUUGCCUAAACACUAAAUGAUUUUUUCAACACAGCUAAUGGGGUUAUUCAUAAAUUAAACUGAGAACAACCUUUCCAGUAACCAUGUUCACAAACACUA